AAGAUUUUAAGUUAAACAAAUAAACUAAUAGCCUUCAAAGCUUUAAAUAAAAUAUUUUUUUAAAUCUUA
rnacentral:tRNA from 1 species